AUCUAUGGCCAUGCCACCCUGAACAAGCCCGAUCCCGUCUGAUCUCGGAAGCUAAGCAGGGUUGAGCCUGGUUAGUACUUGGAUGGGAGACCACCUAGGAAGACCAGGUGCUAUAGGCA
rnacentral:rRNA from 1 species